rnacentral:rRNA from 1 species
AGAGUUUGAUCAUGGCUCAGAUUGAACGCUGGCGGCGUGCCUAACACAUGCAAGUCGAACGAGGUAGCAAUACCUAGUGGCAGACGGGUGAGUAACGCGUGGUCAACCUACCUCCGAGCGGGGGAUAACUAGCCGAAAGGCUAGCUAAUACCGCAUGAUACCGCAGCCGGCAUCGGCAUCGGUUGAAAGCCGCAAGGCACUCGGGGACGGGACCGCGUCCGAUUAGUUAGUUGGUGGGGUAACGGCCUACCAAGACUCCGAUCGGUAGCUGGUUUGAGAGAACGACCAGCCACACUGGGACUGAGAACGGCCCAGACUCCUACGGGAGGCAGCAGUGAGGAAUUUUCCGCAAUGGGCGAAAGCCUGACGGAGCGACGCCGCGUGUGGGAAGAAGGCCUUCGGGUCGUAAACCACUGUCGAGGGGGAAGAUACUGACGGUACCCCUGGAGGAAGCCCCGGCUAACUACGUGCCAGCAGCCGCGGUAAGACGUAGGGGGCAAGCGUUAUUCGGAAUUAUUGGGCGUAAAGCGCUCGUAGGCGGGACAGGAAGUCCGUGAAGAAAGACCUGGGCUCAACUCAGGGACCGGCACGGAUACUCUUGUUCUUGAGGCAAUCAGAGGGUGAUGGAAUUCCCGGUGUAGCGGUGAAAUGCGUAGAUAUCGGGAGGAACCCAGUGGCGAAGGCGAUCACCUGGGGUUGUUCUGACGCUGAGGAGCGAAAGCUAGGGGAGCAAACGGGAUUAGAUACCCUAGUAGUCC